AGUUUGAUCCUGGCUCAGAUUGAACGCUGGCGGCAUGCCUUACACAUGCAAGUCGAACGGUAACAGGUCUUCGGAUGCUGACGAGUGGCGAACGGGUGAGUAAUACAUCGGAACGUGCCCGAUCGUGGGGGAUGACGGAGCGAAAGCUUUGCUAAUACCGCAUACGAUCUACGGAUGAAAGCAGGGGACCGCAAGGCCUUGCGCGGACGGAGCGGCCGAUGGCAGAUUAGGUAGUUGGUGGGAUAAAAGCUUACCAAGCCGACGAUCUGUAGCUGGUCUGAGAGGACGACCAGCCACACUGGGACUGAGGCACGGCCCAGACUCCUACGGGAGGCAGCAGUGGGGAAUUUUGGACAAUGGGCGAAAGCCUGAUCCAGCCAUGCCGCGUGCAGGAUGAAGGCCUUCGGGUUGUAAACUGCUUUUGUACGGAACGAAAAGCCUCUUUCUAAUAAAGAGAGGUCAUGACGGUACCGUAAGAAUAAGCACCGGCUAACUACGUGCCAGCAGCCGCGGUAA
rnacentral:rRNA from 1 species